rnacentral:rRNA from 1 species
GUGGGGAAUAUUGGACAAUGGGCGAAAGCCUGAUCCAGCCAUGCCGCGUGUGUGAAGAAGGUCUUCGGAUUGUAAAGCACUUUAAGUUGGGAGGAAGGGUAGUAACCUAAUACGUUGCUUCUUUGACGUUACCGACAGAAUAAGCACCGGCUAACUUAGUGCCAGCAGCCGCGGUAAUACGAAGGGUGCAAGCGUUAAUCGGAAUUACUGGGCGUAAAGCGCGCGUAGGUGGUUCAGUAAGUUGGAAGUGAAAUCCCCGGGCUCAACCUGGGAACUGCGUUCAAAACUGCUGAGCUAGAGUACGGUAGAGGGUGGUGGAAUUUCCUGUGUAGCGGUGAAAUGCGUAGAUAUAGGAAGGAACACCAGUGGCGAAGGCGACCACCUGGACUGAUACUGACACUGAGGUGCGAAAGCGUGGGGAGCAAACAGGAUUAGAUACCCUAGUAGUCC